rnacentral:rRNA from 1 species
GAUAUCUCCAGAUUCGGCUUAAAGUUUGAUCCUGGCUCAGAUUGAACGCUGGCGGCAGGCCUAACCCAUGCAAGUCGAGCGGAUGAAGAAAGCUUGCUCUCUGAUUCAGCGGCGGACGGGUGAGUAAUGCCUAGGAAUCUGCCUAUUAGUGGGGGACAACAUCUCGAAAGGGAUGCUAAUACCGCAUACGCCCUACGGGGGAAAGCAGGGGAUCACUUGUGACCUUGCGUUAAUAGAUGAGCCUAAGUCGGAUUAGCUAGUUGGUGGGGUAAAGGCCUACCAAGGCGACGAUCUGUAGCGGGUCUGAGAGGAUGAUCCGCCACACUGGGACUGAGACACGGCCCAGACUCCUACGGGAGGCAGCAGUGGGGAAUAUUGGACAAUGGGGGGAACCCUGAUCCAGCCAUGCCGCGUGUGUGAAGAAGGCCUUAUGGUUGUAAAAAAACUUUAAGCGAGGAGGAGGCUCUCUUGGU